rnacentral:rRNA from 1 species
ACGGGGUAGGAAUGCGUAGGUGACGUACCCUCGGGUCUGGGAUAGCUACGGGAAACUGUAGGUAAUACCAGAUAAUCUCUCCGGACAUGGUAGCCUGGAGAGCAAAGGUGUGAUUCCACCUGGGGAGCGGCUUACGUAGUAUUAGCUUGUUGGUGAGGUAACGACUCACCAAGGCUACGAUGCUUAGGGGGUGUUAGCGCAUGACCCCCACCACUGGGACUGAGAUACUGCCCAGACACCUACGGGUGGCUGCAGUCGAGGAUCUUCGGCAAUGGGCGCAAGCCUGACCGAGCGACGCCGCGUGUGGGAUGAAGGCCCUUGGGUUGUAAACCACUGUCAGAGGGGAUGAAAUGCCAGCCGGCAAUCCGGUUGGUUUGACAUAGCCUCAGAGGAAGCACGGGCUAAGUUCGUGCCAGCAGCCGCGGUAAUACGAACUGUGCAAACGUUAUUCGGAAUCACUGGGCUUAAAGGGUGCGUAGGCGGCUGUCUAAGUUGGGUGUGAAAGCCCCCGGCUCAACCGGGGAAUUGCGCCCUAAACUGGAUGGCUGGAGUGAGACAGGGGUGUGUGGAACUUCCGGUGGAGC